rnacentral:ncRNA from 1 species
AGGUUCCUCGCGAGAGGAUGAAAAGGGAACGAGGUUGAAGACCUCGGCUGCCCCCGCAACUGUAAGCGGCGAGUUCUAGCGCCAUUGGCCACUGGGUCUCCAUGACCUGGGAAGGCGGCGCCAAGAGCAGUGACCCGCGAGCCAGGAGACCUGCCCGGCGC